CCUACGGGAGGCAGCAGUGGGGAAUUUUGGACAAUGGGGGCAACCCUGAUCCAGCCAUGCCGCGUGGGUGAAGAAGGCCUUCGGGUUGUAAAGCCCUUUUGUUGGGAAAGAAAAGCAUUCGGUUAAUACCCGAUUGUUCUGACGGUACCCAAAGAAUAAGCACCGGCUAACUUCGUGCCAGCAGCCGCGGUAAUACGAAGGGUGCAAGCGUUACUCGGAAUUACUGGGCGUAAAGCGUGCGUAGGUGGUUGUUUAAGUCUGUCGUGAAAGCCCUGGGCUCAACCUGGGAAUUGCGAUGGAAACUGGGCGACUAGAGUGUGGCAGAGGGUAGUGGAAUUCCUGGUGUAGCAGUGAAAUGCGUAGAGAUCAGGAGGAACAUCCGUGGCGAAGGCGACUGCCUGGGCCAACACUGACACUGAGGCACGAAAGCGUGGGGAGCAAACAGGAUUAGAUACCCUGGUAGUCCACGCCCUAAACGAUGCGAACUGGAUGUUGGGUGCAAUUUGGCACGCAGUAUCGAAGCUAACGCGUUAAGUUCGCCGCCUGGGGAGUACGGUCGCAAGACUGAAACUCAAAGGAAUUGACGG
rnacentral:rRNA from 1 species